GAUGAACGCUGGCGGCGUGCUUAACACAUGCAAGUCGAACGAUGAAGCCCAGCUUGCUUGGUGGAUUAGUGGCGAACUGGUGAGUAACACGUGAGCAACCUGCUCCUGACUCUGGGAUAAGCGCUGGAAACGGCGUCUACUACUGGAUAUGUCCCGUCACCGCAUGGUGUGCGGCUGGAAAGCUUUUUAGGUUGGGGAUGGGCUCGCUGCCUAUCAGAUUGUUGGUGAGGUAAUGGCUCACCAAGGCGAGGACGGGUAGCCGGCCUGAGAGGGUGUCCGGCCACACUGGGACGGAAACAAGACACAGACUACUACGGGAGGCAGCAGUGGAGAAUAUUGCACAAUGGGCGGAAGCCUGAUGCAGCAACGCCGCGUGAGGGAUGACGGCCUUCGGGUUGUAAACCUCUUUUAGCAGGGAAGAAGCGAAAGUGACGGUACCUGCAGAAAAAGCACCGGCUAACUACGUG
rnacentral:rRNA from 1 species